ACGGGUGAGUAAUAUAUCGGAGCGUGCCCAGUAGCGGGGGAUAACUACGCGAAAGCGUGGCUAAUACCGCAUACGCCCUACGGGGGGAAGGGGGGGAUCGCAAGACCUCUCACUAUUGGAGCGGCCGAUAUCGGAUUAGCUAGUUGGUGGGGUAAAGGCCCACCAAGGCGACGAUCCGUAGCUGGUUUGAGAGGACGACCAGCCACACUGGGACUGAGACACGGCCCAGACUCCUACGGGAGGCAGCAGUGGGGAAUUUUGGACAAUGGGGGCAACCCUGAUCCAGCCAUCCCGCGUGUGCGAUGAAGGCCUUCGGGUUGUAAAGCACUUUUGGCAGGGAAGAAACGGCGCUCUUUAAUACGGGGCGCAACUGACGGUACCUGCAGAAUAAGCACCGGCUAACUACGUGCCAGCAGCCGCGGUAAUACGUAGGGUGCAAGCGUUAAUCGGAAUUACUGGGCGUAAAGCGUGCGCAGGCGGUUCGGAAAGAAAGAUGUGAAAUCCCAGGGCUCAACCUUGGAACUGCAUUUUUAACUCCCGAGCUAGAGUAUGUCAGAGGGGGGUAGAAUUCCACGUG
rnacentral:rRNA from 1 species